rnacentral:rRNA from 1 species
GAUGAACGCUGGCGGCGUGCCUAAUACAUGCAAGUCGAGCGAACAGACGAGGAGCUUGCUCCUCUGACGUUAGCGGCGGACGGGUGAGUAACACGUGGAUAACCUACCUAUAAGACUGGGAUAACUUCGGGAAACCGGAGCUAAUACCGGAUAAUAUAUUGAACCGCAUGGUUCAAUAGUGAAAGACGGUUUUGCUGUCACUUAUAGAUGGAUCCGCGCCGCAUUAGCUAGUUGGUGAGGUAACGGCUUACCAAGGCAACGAUGCGUAGCCGACCUGAGAGGGUGAUCGGCCACACUGGAACUGAGACACGGUCCAGACUCCUACGGGAGGCAGCAGUAGGGAAUCUUCCGCAAUGGGCGAAAGCUUGACGGACCAACGCCGCGUGAGUGAUGAAGGUCUUCGGAUCGUAAAACUCUGUUAUUAGGGAAGAACAAAUGUGUAAGUAACUAUGCACGUCUUGACGGUACCUAAUCAGAAAGCCACGGCUAACUACGUG